rnacentral:rRNA from 1 species
AGCGGCGGACGGGCGAGUAACGCGUGGGUAACCUGCCUCAUACAGGGGGAUAACAGUUAGAAAUGACUGCUAAUACCGCAUAAGACCACGGUACCGCAUGGUACAGUGGUAAAAACUCCGGUGGUAUGAGAUGGACCCGCGUCUGAUUAGGUAGUUGGUGGGGUAACGGCCUACCAAGCCGACGAUCAGUAGCCGACCUGAGAGGGUGAUCGGCCACAUUGGGACUGAGACACGGCCCAG